GGCCUUCUAUUAACAGAAAAAUGCCAGUUUGGAACAGCAGAAACCUAAAAUCCGAAGCCUCACCGGAAUCGACUCGAGAACGUUGAAAAAAUAACCCAAAACGUUCAAGUGAAGAAGAUACAGCCAGAUAUCGCGAUGGAAGUCUCAGAUCAACAUACGAUUUAGAUCGGAAUCAUCAUUGACCAGAUACGUCAGAAACACCCCAAAAAAUUUCCAACGAGACUUCAACCGAGAUAACAAGAUACAGGAAAGCAUCGUCGGAUCAUCUUCCUUGCUCUGAUACCAUUAAAACAUCAAGAAAUCCAG
rnacentral:lncRNA from 1 species